rnacentral:lncRNA from 1 species
UAUGAUAAUGCAAGCACAUUCCUCUCAUGUUUUUCAGGGAACUUGGUUGAAUAUGAUGAACCUGUUGGGAUCCAGCCCAAUUGGAAGCCCAAGCCCAAUUAAAGCAGAGGCCAUUAGAAGCCCAAUGCCCAGUCCAAAUUACCUUAAUGAGGAGGCAUCUCCUUCUUCUAGAUGCAUUGUUGGUUGCAUUUGUCAAAGAACAAAGGCUCUGAAGCGGCGGAGCGAAGAAAGAGCAGAAGAGAGAGAAGAAAAAGCUGCUGAAGAUGUCGGAAGGAUGAUCUCUAUGGUCAAGAAUGAGGCAUUGAAUGAGCUCAUCUGAUCUCUCUGAGCCUAUAAAUUGAGAAGUUGCCAGAGAGAGGGAAGAAGGGCGGAGCAGAAUGUAAUCCUUGGGGAUUACUGGGAGCACACAGCAUGGUUUGCUGUGUUGAGAGGGGCUGGGAGAGAGGACUAGUAUUUGGGGGGAGUGCUAUUGGUGCUAGUAGAGUUGACGUACCAGAGACUGACAGAGAGGGCUUUAGCUAGAAUUGGGAGCUGUUGAGGGACGAGAACAGACAAGUGAGAUGCGGGAGAGAUGAGAGAGUGCUGAGAGGGAGUGGAGAUGGCUCUCCCUAUUGUACUCAUUGUAAUUAAAUUCUGUGAUUAGUGAUAUGGUUCCUCUCCGUUAGUGUAGGCAGAUUGGCCCGAAACCACGUAAAUCGUGUCUUGUGUGUAUAGUUGAUAUGGUUAGAUGUGACUGGUGACUAGUCCUUUGGGCACACAACAUUUGUAUCAGAGCCAAGUUCGAGUCCCGGAGAGUUCACGUACGAUUUCGGCGCAGAAUGAGAAGCCCCGAUUUUGAUUCUAACCAAAUCCGAAGUGCUCAAAAAAUGGCGUGUUGAGCAACCACCAGAUCGUCUCGUCGAGACUAAACUCCAGGCACCAACCGCGUCAAAAUUGGACGUCGGACGAGCCCUCACCGCCGCCCAAGUUCAUCGAGCGUCAAUCCACGCCCCCACGCGCGCCAAGAGGCAAGACAGACGAGUGCCUUCCCGCGCCCACGCGCCCGCACGAGCCUUGAGUCUGCCAUUUAAAGAAAAAUACCAUCAUCAUUAACCCAAAUAGGAAAAAGAAAAAGCGAACCGAAAAAAAGAAAAGAAAAAGAAAAAGAAAAAGAAGUAAUGAUUCAUGUUUUUUUGUUUUUUUCUUCGUUUUUUUUGGGUUAGCCUAAUUCAAACGCCAAGUCAAGCCCCGUUGACCCCGGUCAACCCGAGCCGUUGACCCGGGCCCGAGCCGAGCCGGGUUGACCAGAGCCGUUACUGGACCGUUUGACUAGCGUUGAAACCGUUGACCAGUCAACCUGAAAAAUUUGCACUUUUUUCCUUGGACUUCUGUUAAUUACAGAUUUGUCCCUGAAAUUUGGAAAAAUGCAAUUUAGUCCCUAAAGUUAUGAUUUAUUCAGAGUUUGGGUUCCCAGAAAAGUGUCUAUUUUGACAGGAAAAAGCACCUUUUUGAGUUUUCUCGGCAUUCCGGAUUCAUCAACGAGGUCGGUUUUCGAAGAUUUUAAGUUCAUUUGCGAGAAGUAAGAAGGCAGAGUAAUUGAGAGCCUUGAUCUGCUUUCAACAUGCGGAUUACGCCCCAGGAAAAACAAGGAUGAGGAAUGAGAUAAAGGAAGAUGAUGCGGGUAGAUCAAGAAAAAGCUUGACACGAGGUGUUUGUUCCACAUUAGCACGAUGAGACGAGUGUUUGCAGAUCCAGACCAAUGCAUUGAAACACAGGGGUUGUUCCAACAUGUAGCACGAUGAGACGAGUGUUCAUGUUAUGGACCAAGUGAAGGAGAUUGUACCGAGAGAAGAUGUUCGAACAAAAGCGUAAUGAGAGGCUUGUGUUGAAGCUUCAGAGAGGAACUACAGUGGCGAACAAACGAGAAAAGUCAGAGAGCCACAGAAGAGGUCAAAAGAGAGCCAGGAGAAGAAGGUCUCAAGAAGGAGGUUACAGAGUCAAGAGAAGAGGUCAAGAAGAGAUACCGGCAGGAUGAUGGCGGAGGGCAGAAUCCAGAGGUCGCCACUUUAAGUGCCUUUCAUAUUGCGACCAAGGAGGGACAACGAAGAAUUGUCCAGGAACAAAGCACAAGAUCAGUCUUCAGAGGGCAGAAAAAAGCAAUGAUGGCUGUGAAUGAGAGUGAUGUUUCCUAGCAGCAUCGGCGAUGAAGAGUAGAUUGAAUAUUCUGAUUCAGGAAUUGCUUUACCACUAUGUGCAGAGACAAAGAGGUAUUUUUACCACAUGUAGCAUGCGACGGGACUUGUCGGGAUGCUAACGACGCGAUUGUGCAAAGACAAUCGGUUCCGCAUGACAGACGGAGAGCGAGAUCCUGAAGGUAACCGGGGUAAGGCCUGUUUCAUUGAGAUUGCAGGAGUCGAAGCGAUGAAGUUGAAGCUAGUGGAGGACACUCAGGUUUCCAAGGAAAACAGGAGAAGCGGUAGGAGAAGGAAGACUGGAAGGCUAUUACCGAGAGGGAAUGUCC